rnacentral:tRNA from 1 species
GCCCGGGUGGUGGAACUGGUAGACACGUGCGCUUGAGGGGCGUAUGGCGAGAGCCGUGCGGGUUCAACUCCCGCCCCGGGCA